rnacentral:rRNA from 1 species
GAUGAACGCUGGCGGCGUGCUUAACACAUGCCAGUCGAACGGAAAGGCCCAAGCUUGCUUGGGUACUCGAGUGGCGAACGGGUGAGUAACACGUGGGUGAUCUGCCCUGCACUUCGGGAUAAGCCUGGGAAACUGGGUCUAAUACCGGAUAGGACCACAUUUUGGAUGGUGUGGUGGAAAGUUUUUCGGUGUGGGAUGAGCUCGCGGCCUAUCAGCUUGUUGGUGGGGUAAUGGCCUACCAAGGCGUCGACGGGUAGCCGGCCUGAGAGGGUGUACGGCCAAAUUGGGAAUGGGAUACGGCCCAGAAUCCUACGGGGGGAAGCAGGGGGGAAGAGUGCAAAAUGGGGGAAAGCCUGAUGCAGCGACGCCGGGGGGGGGAUGAGGGCCUUCGGGUUGGAAAAUCCGUUCCAUAGGGAAGAAGCGUUUUUGUGACGGGACCUGGGAAAGAAACACCGGCUAACUACGU